UGGCUGGCUUCGGAGCGGCGCCGCAGCCCUCACUUCCCUGAGAGCCGCCGGUUCGAGUCCCGUGUUCGCGCCCUCGCCUGGCUGAGCUUAGAUGAGAAGCCCGGCCUGGCCAGUAGCCAGCCACUGGUCUGGGAGUCCUGGUUUGCAAGUGUUUGUGAUCAGAUGACGCGAAACUAGUGCUCAGAAAGAUGUGCAAGACCUGAAACACUCAUAAGACCUUGCUGGUUCUGAAAUCCUGCACGUCGAUACCUUAUGGCCUCGUUUAUUUAGAUAACGAAAGCAAAACUGUUCUGUUGGUUUAGGCGAUGAAAACAUCACUAAAUAACACAGCUGCAAAUAUUA